AGAUCAAACUGUUGGUCGUGCCUUGGUACGUACUGGCAUUAUUGAUUUCUCCUUCCUGAUGAGCCGUAAUGCCAUUAAUUUGGUGUUGCGGGGAGUUUGGACUGUUACUUUGAAAAAAUUAGAGUGUUUAAAGCAAGCUAACGCUUGAAUACAUUAGCAUGGAAUAAUGAAAUAGGACGUGCGGUCCUAUUUUGUUGGUUUCUAGGAUCGCCGUA
rnacentral:rRNA from 1 species